rnacentral:rRNA from 1 species
GACAGAGGUGCCAAGCGUUAGGCGGAAUCACUGGGCUUAAAGCGUGUGUAGGCGGAUCGUUAAGUGUCUUGUGAAAUCCCACGGCUCAACCGUGGAACUGCUCGACAUACUGGCGAUCUUGAGCAACCUAGGGGCGAGCGGAACAAAUGGUGGAGCGGUGAAAAUGCGUAGAUAUCAACUUGGAACGCCGACGGGUGAAAAACAGUCUGCUGGGGGGCCUGCUGACGCUGAGACGAAGCCAGGGGAGCGG